rnacentral:rRNA from 1 species
GCGUUGUUCGGAUUCAUUGGGCGUAAAGGGUGCGUAGGUGGCGGGGUAAGUCAGGUGUGAAAUUUCGGAGCUUAACUCCGAAACUGCAUUUGAUACUGCCUUGCUUGAGGACUGGAGAGGAGAGUGGAAUUCACGGUGUAGCGGCGAAAUGCGUAGAGAUCGGGAGGAAGACCAGUGGCGAAGGCGGCUCUCUGGACAGUUCCUGACACUGAGGCGCGAAGGCCAG